rnacentral:rRNA from 1 species
GAUGAACGCUGGCGGCGUGCUUAACACAUGCAAGUCGAACGGUGAAGCAGGAGCUUGCUCCUGUGGAUCAGUGGCGAACGGGUGAGUAACACGUGAGCAAUCUGCCCUGGACUCUGGGAUAAGCGUUGGAAACGACGUCUAAUACCGGAUACGAGGCGUGGGGGCAUCCCCAACGCCUGGAAAGAAUUUCGGUCCAGGAUGAGCUCGCGGCCUAUCAGGUAGUUGGUGAGGUAACGGCUCACCAAGCCUACGACGGGUAGCCGGCCUGAGAGGGUGACCGGCCACACUGGGACUGAGACACGGCCCAGACUCCUACGGGAGGCAGCAGUGGGGAAUAUUGCACAAUGGGCGCAAGCCUGAUGCAGCAACGCCGCGUGAGGGACGACGGCCUUCGGGUUGUAAACCUCUUUUAGCAGGGAAGAAGCGAAAGUGACGGUACCUGCAGAAAAAGCACCGGCUAACUACGUGCCAGCAGCCGCCGCGGUAA